rnacentral:rRNA from 1 species
UGCGUAGGUGACAAGCGUUGUCCGGAUUUACUGGGCGUAAAGAGCGCGCAGGCGGUCGAUCAAGUCGAGUGUGAAAGCCCCCGGCUCAACUGGGGAGGGUCAUUCGAUACUGAUCGACUCGAAGGCAGGAGAGGGUAGUGGAAUUCCCGGUGUAGUGGUGAAAUGCGUAGAUAUCGGGAGGAGCACCAGUGGCGAAGGCGACUACCUGGCCUGUUCUUGACGCUGAGGCGCGAAAGCUAGGGGAGCAAACGGG